rnacentral:rRNA from 1 species
GAUGAACGCUGGCGGCGUGCCUAAUACAUGCAAGUCGAGCGAAUGGAUUAAGAGCUUGCUCUUAUGAAGUUAGCGGCGGACGGGUGAGUAACACGUGGGUAACCUGCCCAUAAGACUGGGAUAACUCCGGGAAACCGGGGCUAAUACCGGAUAACAUUUUGAACCGCAUGGUUCGAAAUUGAAAGGCGGCUUCGGCUGUCACUUAUGGAUGGACACGAGUCGCAUUAGCUAGUUGGUGAGGUAACGGCUCACCACGGCAACGAUGCGUAGCCGACCUGAGAGGGGGAUCGGCCACACUGGGACUGAGACACGGCCCAGACUCCUACGGGAGGCAGCAGUAGGGAAUCUUCCGCAAUGGACGAAAGUCUGACGGAGCAACGCCGCGUGAGUGAUGAAGGCUUUCGGGUCGUAAAACUCUGUUGUUAGGGAAGAACAAGUGCUAGUUGAAUAAGCUGGCACCUUGACGGUACCUAACCAGAAAGCCACGGCUAACUACGUGCCAGCCGCCGCCGUAA